CUCGAUUUGAACCAAAUUAAUUUGAUAUCCAAAUGUGCUACUUUUUAACCAAGUGCUGUGCUAUGCUCAGUCACUCAGUCGUGUCUGACUCCGCAGUCCUUAGGACUGCAGCCCGCCAAGCUCCUCUAUCCAUGGGAUUUCUCAGGCAAGAAUACUGGAGUGGGUUGCCAUUUCUUCCUCCAAGGGAUCUUCCCAACCCACGGAUCAAACUCAAACUUCCUGUGUCUCCUGCACUGCAGGUGAAUUCUUAACCUGCUGAGUAAUUUGGGAAGCCCAACAAAGCAAGUAAACUAUAUAUUUCAACUUCUUCAGUUGCUGAAGUGGGAAGGGGUGAAUUGUAUUUUUAGCUGAGCAAACAUAAAAGGGAGCUGGAAAUGGUUUGAGUCCCAUAGCCAGUAAGGAAAAUGGAGAACUGGUGGCCAAUCAGUCUACAAAAUUGGCUGAAUUUCAAGAAGAAAAAUGGUGAUGAGAAAGGUUUUCAUAUUUAACAUUUUAAAAAUAAAAGUAUACUUUAAGUACAGGAGGAUAAGGAUAGGUAAGAUAAGGAAGUGAAGCUUACUUCCUACCUGAGCAAGGAGAUGAAAACAAAUUCAGAGUCCUUCAACCCAUCCUCACAGGGCCAGGGCAACAAGGAGGGCUGCACAGGGCAAUAGGAGAAGCAGGAAAUGGAGGGUUGGAAGAGUCACUUCAUAAGUACAAGCACCAUCCGUAUCAGGUCCCCCAGCAUACUGUACUGCUGGCAGGCAUUUAUCUGCUCAAGGGCACAUGGACCAGGGCCGACUUAUGGAACACCUUGGUGGAGGAAAUUUUUCUUCUAAUGACACCCUUGGUUUUCCUUCAGGGAGCCUACUCUCUCUCUCACUCCUAAGGGCAGGAGAUCCUGGUAAGGAAUAUGGAACUAAUAAGCCACCACCAACCAGAAG